UUGGGCGGAGUGGAGGAGCUGGAACAGUUGUGUUUGUGACUACAGUUCUGGAGCUGGGGUGAAGACCAGGACUAGGAGCUGUACAGAUCCCGCUCCUUUCUGCCACGGAUCUGAUUGUGAUGGCGACCGAGUGGAAUAUGGUGUUUGUCUUUUUGAGUGCUGUAAAUCAGUGCAUGGAGGCUGGACAAAUUGGUCCUCUUGGAAUAUGUGCGUCUGUGACUACAUCUCUGGAACUGGAAACAUGAUAAGAU